GGGAGCAUGAAGGAGGGCCCAGGGCCAUUCCUGACCAAGGCUCCCCAGGGCCUCUUCCCAGCAGCUCCCUGAGGCCAGGAGUGCAGGGAGGCAGAGGCUCUGUGUAGGCAGCUCAGCUGCUGAGCAGAGCCUGGGCUGGCUGGAGGCAGCAGAAAGGCCAAGGCCUGAGCCCCAGCCCCAGGGAAGGCAGAUCCUGUCCCUCCCCGCCUGCUCAGGGCUCUGCCGGGAGCACUGGCAUAGGGAGGGAUGCUGAGGGCAGGACAAGGGAUGGCAGUGCCCAGCCUGGCUGGGGCUGUGCCAGGAGGCCCCAGUGCCUCAGGACAAGGUGUCUCCUCCUCACAGCCCUUGGUGGCAAGACGCUGCUGUGCCCCAGGGCACCAAGGCCUGGCUUCUCCUGGCCACUGCCAGCCUUGCCAGGGCCCUUGGCCAUGUCCAGCACAGCUUGUCCUGCGCUGUCCCACAGCUGCUGCUGUGUCCCUGCAGGCUGCACACUCCCAUCUCGCUGCCCCCCGGGCCCUGCCCUGCCAUUGCCAGCCCUGCCCUGCCCCUGCCAUGCCCAGGGCAUGUCUGCAAUUCCCCCAGGCAAUGGGUGGGGAUGGGCAAGUGUUCCUGAGGGCACAGGGAGGGGACAGCUGGGCUGGACUGACCCAAGGGAUCUCCCAUUCCAUGCAAUGUCAUGGUCAGCAAUAAACUGAGGGAAAGGAAGGGCAUAGGGCUGGCAGGGAGGGCUGUGGAGAUUUUUUACCAAGACAUUUCUCAUACAAAACACAAAGUACAUGUUCUUGAUCCGUUCCUACCAGAGGUGGCUGGACUGAUUGUCUGCUGAUGAGAAUCAGCAACAGAGGAUUGAUCUCAUUUGUUGUUUCUUUGCUUCCACCUGCGGCCUUUGCCUUUUGAGGCCCUUGCUGAGGAGGGUGUAGAAGCCCAGAAGAUCAGGACCUGGUCUGCAUGUCCCACACAUCAAAAACUGGAUGGCCGUGGGACCAACCAAGGAUUGGUGAGAACAGCCAAGACUUCUUGGCAAUAACACACUGUGAGGAAGAACAGACUGUGUCUGCAGAAGGGGCCAUGCAGAUAAAGGCAGAACUUUGCCAGGACAAACAUCCUUGCUCUGGCUCCUGGGCAUAAGCACGACAUGGCCCAAGUGCAGGAAUGAGAAGUGGGCACGGACUGUGGGGGGAUCAACACCACCAAAGACCCCCAAAGCCUCCGAGCCAUUUCCAGAAAGGUGUAGCAGAACUAACUGCACGUGUCUCGUUGGCUAAAUGUUUCCCCAAUUCCAGUUUGGUCUUAACCACUUGGUGUGCUCUGCAAUGCCUGAUGGCAACUUCCUCUGGUUUCUGGAUACUUUCAAGUAAACCUAAGAUUUGUUCUCCGUUUUUGAUCGGA